rnacentral:tRNA from 1 species
UCCCAGGUAGCUUAAUAGUAGAGCACCUGACUGGCAAUUGGGGGAUCUGGGUUCAAUUCUCGGCUCGGGCU